rnacentral:rRNA from 1 species
UACGGAGGAUGCGAGCGUUAUCCGGAUUUAUUGGGUUUAAAGGGUGCGUAGGCGGCGAGUUAAGUCAGCGGUAAAAGCCCGGGGCUCAACUGCGGUAGUGCAUUUGGAACUGUAUGGCUGGAGUGCAGGAGAGGCAGGCGGAAUUCCUAGUGUAGCGGUGAAAUGCGUAGAUAUUAGGAGGAACACCAGUGGCGAAGGCGGCCUGCUGGACUGUAACUGACGUUGAGGCUCGAAAGCGUGGGGAGCAAACAGG